AUUAUACUCCCUCCGUCCGGAAUUACUUGUCAUCAAAUUGGAUGUAUCUAGAGCUAAAAUACAUCUAGAUACAUCCAUUUCCAUGACAAGUAUUUCCGGGCGGAGGGAGUACACA
rfam:Triticum aestivum genome assembly, contig: Triticum_aestivum_CS42_TGACv1_scaffold_404796_5BL